GAAAAUAAUCCGAGCUGCAGAACUAAAUAGAGAAGGUACAAUCUUUUAUAACAGUGUGCAGCUGCUGGCGUAUGCCGAUGAUAUUGAUAUCAUCUGCCUUAGUUCUGCUUUCUCCAGAAUGGACAAGGAAGCAAAGCAAAUGGGUCUGGCAGUGAACGAGGGCAAGACGAAAUAUCUCCUGUCAUCAAACAAACAGUCGUCGCACUCGCGACUUGGCUCUCACAUACCUAUUGAAAAUCAUAACUUUGAAGUUGUCGAUAAUUUCGUCUAUUUAGGAACCAGUAUUAACACCACCAACAAUGUCAGCCUGGAUAUCCAACGCAGGAUUGCUCUUGCCAACUUCGGACUGAAUAGGCAAUUGAGAAGCAAAGUCCUCUCUCGACGAACGAAAGUCAAACUCUAUAAAUCGCUCAUAAUUCCCGUCCUGCUAUAUGGUGCAGAGGCUUGGACGAUGACAGCAACCGAUGAGUCGACGUUACGAGUUUUAGAGAGAAGGUUCUGCGAAAGAUUUAUGGUCCUUUGCGCAUUGGCCACGGCGAAUAUCGCAUUCGAUGGAACGAUGAGCUGUACGAGAUAUACGAUGACAUUGACAUAGUUCAGUGAAUUAAAAGACAGCGGCUACGCUGGCUAGGUGAUGUUGUCCGGAUGGACGAAAGCACUCAAGCUCUGAAAGUAUUCGACGCAGUCCACUCCUUUGGAAGGAUCAAGUGAAGAAGGACCUGGCUCCGCUUGGAAUAUCCAAUUGGCGCCACGUAGCGAAAAGAAGAAACGACUGGCGCGCUGUUGUUAACUCGGCUAUAAUCGCGGAAGCGGUGUCUACGCCACUUAAGAAGAAGAAGAAGAUAGUUACUGGAGAAAUGAAACCAUUUGGAUCAUAAAGUUGAGCAACACAGGCCAAUAUUUGUCUUUUAGCGAUGACAUUUUCUAUCUCAAGAGUCUUUACUGCGAAGAUGCAUCUGGGAAUUCUUUUUCUGCAUCCCUCGCACACUAUCACUGCCCGAACAGCAUUAAAUGCAGAUGAUGUUAUACCAUAUGUUACGACCUUUAACCAAUAUUCUCUUAUUGGUUCAUCAGUAUUCUCUCUCCAAAAAAUCCGCUGUAGAUGCCAUUGACUUUGGACUACUUGCACUUGCCGGAACAUUUUUUUAAUAUCGCCUAUGACACCAAUUUUAUGUCUGCGAAACUUGAGAACAAUGAGUUAGUUCGUAAACGCAGUAACUUGGUUGCACUGCAUAUUGACAGGGGCAACGCGUUCGUCAAAAAAACAUGCGGCAAUACUGCUCUUCGUCAAAAGUUUUUUAAUGCAUGCAGUUGGCAGCACUUCGGCAAAUUGUCGCAGCCAUUGCAGUAAGUUUUUUGAAACUGCGUAGAACCAAAGGCGAAAUGGAAGAAUCCCACGAAUUUCCAGCAAAUUAUAUAAAAAUUUUAAUACGAACAAGGCUGGACAUGGAGUCGGAGUUCCAGGAAGGAAGGAAAAAAAAUCUUUCCUGUGGGGGAGAAUUCCUGAAAUAAUUAAAGAAAAAGUUCCAGAAUUUAAUUUAUCACGGGAUCAGAUUUCCCGUAAAUUUGUGAAUCUCUUCUGCACAUAUAAAAGAAUUAAAAAGCGAAAUAGUUAACAGGGCGUGCUGCAAGUGCUUGGGAGUUUUUUGAAGAAUUUGACGAUGUGUAUGGAACCAGACAUUCCAUUAGUACGCCUCCUGAGAAUUUGCAUUCGUCUUUGUCACUGCCAAGUACAAGGGAUGCUUCCAAUGUGGUGGAAGAUAUUGGGGUUUCGAAUGACUCUCCAGGAACCUCGAACAACACAACAUCGACACAAUCUCGGCAGAAGGCGUAGGACAACCAGUGCCAAUGAGUCUCUGGAAUUCCUUAAGGAAGAAGCUAAAAAUGAAAAGGAAAGGCACGAUCAGAUUAUAGAGCUUGAACGGGAAAAGAUGCAAAUAGAGCACGAGAGAAUACAAAGAAGAAGAGAUAUGCUUCAAAAGUUUUUAGACAGAUAAGAUGAUAGUAUUUAGUCUUAAAUAUGAAUAUGGCUUUAAAACAGAGUAAUUAGAGUUUUUUUUUAUUUUUACUUACGAAUAAUUUUAAGUUGUUAAGUACACAAAUAAAACAAUGGAUUCCACUCAUAA